rnacentral:lncRNA from 1 species
AUCUACUAGGCGGAGUCCUUUGCAGGCUUUGAUAAUAGGUCCAUAUCUGGCCAGAUCGAUCCUCAUGGUGGGAGUGGACCUUAUGACAGAUUGGAGCCAGAACACCUCAAGUCCCCUCCAACGUCUCAG